rnacentral:lncRNA from 1 species
AUGCCAGCUGUGCCGGCUACACUAGCUUCGCCGACUCCAAUUGUUGCACCGGCUACAACUACUUCGUUGGCUACGACUACUCCGCUGGCUACAACAACAAAUCCGGCUUCGCCAAGCCUCGAAUCCUGUCGUCUCGACACCCAAUGGAUGGACGUCAUGGAGGUAGACGACGAGACGGCUGCCACAACGGCAUCAGAGACAGAG